GUGACACGAAAAGCCUAGGCGUGUAGAUCUUUAUUUUUCAAGCUGGGUUAUCAAGCCUGGUGGCGAUGAAGUGUAGAGAUCGGUUACAUGAACUUGUAAAGGUAGAGAUAGAGAAGAAGGAUUUGAGUACGGAGGAGUGGAAGAUCGUGAUGGAGAGAAGCUUCGAACGCAUGGACAAUGAGGGACUUUAAACAUUAAUCAUGUCGAGGGGGCUAUAAUGGUUGUUAGAGCAUCAAAGCCUACUAUUGUUGCUGAUGCAGAUGGAUUCUUCAGCAUAAAAAAUUGACUUGUCUUCCCACAUUGUUAGGGUUUACUUGACUUUGAAGGAUUUGAUAGAAGGUUGAUACUGGAGGACUACCUUAGCUUUGUCUCAGGAUCUGUUGGUAAGUAAUCCAAAAUUACAAAUUUUAGUUGCUUUAUUCAAAAUAUUUUUCCUAAUGGUUUGAACGGUGAUGGCUAAAUUGGGAAGGCUUAUUUUUUGUUUAAAAGUAAACUGGUAGCUGUUGUAAUGUACCAGUAUUGUUCUGGUUGGAAGAUGGAUUCUUUAACGAAAGAACUUUUGUUUCUUUUUCCCAUUUUGUUCUUGAAAAAGAUUAUUUAUGCAUUCUAUUUUUUAAACAUUUCAGAAAUUUUAGUGAAUUGGGUUUCAGAAAUUUUAUGCAAAUUUUUAGUACAUAUUUCAAAAUUUUAGAUGUGGGUUUGUUUUUCCCAUGCUUGCAAAUUAGAUUUUCAAUCAUUUGCUUGGAUUUUAGGUGGGAAAUGUUGCAUCGUGCGUAGUAUCUGAUCUUUUUUGCUUUAGGCGAGCCACCAGUAUAAAGUCAAAAAAAAGUUUAUGAAGUAUUCAUAAAGAUACCACAACACUUGGUUUUGCAACUAACUGUUCCAAAAAUAGGAUUCACUGUAGCUAAGUGAAUAGUAUAUAUAUAUAUAUAUAUGUGCAUGU